GACGAACGCUGGCGGCGUGCUUAACACAUGCAAGUCGAACGAGUGGCGGACUGGUGUGUAAUGUCUGGGAAACUGCCUGAUGUAGGGGGAUAACUACUGGAACCGGUAGCUAAUACCGCAUAACAUCGGAUUGUCCCAGAUUGGAGUAGCUAGUAGGUGGGGUAUAGGCUAACCUAGGCGACGAUGCCUAGCUGGUCUGAGAGGAUGACCAGCCACACUGGAACUGAGACACGGUCCAGACUCCUACGGGAGGAAGCAGUGGGGAAUAUUGGACAAUGGGCGAAAGCCUGAUGCAGCCAUGCCGCGUGUAUGAAGAAGGCCUUCGGGUUGUAAAGUACUUUCAGCGGGGAGGCGUUACCCGCAGAAGAAGCACCGGCUAACUACGUGCCAGCAGCCGCGGUAAUAC
rnacentral:rRNA from 1 species